AACGAACGCUGGCGGCAUGCCUAACACAUGCAAGUCGAACGAGACCUUCGGGCCUAGUGGCGCACGGGUGCGUAACGCGUGGGAACCUGCCUUUAGGUUCGGAAUAACUCAGAGAAAUUUGAGCUAAUACCGGAUGAUGUCUUCGGACCAAAGAUUUAUCGCCUUUAGAUGGGCCUGCGUUGGAUUAGCUAGUUGGUGGGGUAAAGGCCUACCAAGGCGACGAUCCAUAGCUGGUCUGAGAGGAUGAUCAGCCACACUGGGACUGAGACACGGCCCAGACUCCUACGGGAGGCAGCAGUGGGGAAUAUUGGACAGUGGGCGAAGGCCUGAUCCAGCAAUGCCGCGUGAGUGAUGAAGGCCUUAGGGUUGUAAAGCUCUUUUACCCGAGAUGAUAAUGACAGUAUCGGGAGAAUAAGCUCCGGCUAACUCCGUG
rnacentral:rRNA from 1 species